UACGUAGGGUGCGGGCGUGUCCGGAAUUAUUGGGCGUAAAGAGCUCGUAGGCGGUGUGUCGCGUCGGCCGUGAAAACCUGGGGCUCAACUCUGGGCGUGCGGUCGAUACGGGCAUCACUUGAGUUCGGCAGGGGAGACUGGAAUUCCUGGUGUAGCGGUGAAAUGCGCAGAUAUCAGGAGGAACACCGAGUGGCGAAGGCAGGGUCUCUGGG
rnacentral:rRNA from 1 species